rnacentral:lncRNA from 1 species
UCUGUUGAGAUUGUCUAUUUUUUCUUGAGUCAGCCGUCUGAAAAGAACACGAGGUGGACAGGGCAGAGCGGUCAAGGAAAGCCAUAGGAGGGCACUUAUUUGAGCAAAGACCGGCGGGACGUGGGCGUCGAGGGUAAGGAUAUCUGCAGAAGUAGUGUCUUGAGCAAGGAGCACGGCAGACAGAGCCUCUGAGACACGAGAGCCUGGAGUGUAAGAAACACAGUAGAGGCCACUAAGUCGAGAACGCAGGAGCUGGAAGGACUGGUAGGAAAUGGGAGGUGGGGACAUGGAGGGAUGCGGACAGGUCCUGCACAGUCAGAACUGUGGCCCCUUCUCUGCAGGAAAUGGGCAGCCUUCGGAAGACUGAGCACACGGAAGGAUAUGACUAACCCUUUAAAAGGGUCAUUCUGACUCCUGGGUGAAGAACAGACUAGGAAGGGCUGAGAAGGAGGCAGGAGGCCAUCCACUGUCAUAUGGGAUGUGGAGUGUGACCCGGAAAGGUCAAGCAUUAAAAGCAUUAUCUGAAUCUCAAAGAAAAGUCCAAGACCUGAUGGUUUCCUGGUGAAUUCUACCAAACGUGUAAAGAAGAACUAAUACGAGCCCUUCAUAAACAUUUCCAAAAAACUGAAGAGAAGGGAACACUUCUUAACGCAUUCUAUGAGGCCAGCAUUACGCUGGUACCAAAGCCAGACAUACAUAUGACAAGAAAAGAAAACUACAGACCAAUAUUUCUUCUGAACACUGAUGCAAAAAACCUCAACAAAGUACUGGCAAACUUCAGCAGCA